GGCGGCGUGCCUAAUCUGCAAGUAGAACGCACAGGAUGCACCGUAGUUUACUACACCGUGUUCUGUGAGUUGCGAACGGGUGAGUAACGCGUAGGUAACCUGCCUGGUAGCGGGGGAUAACUAUUGGAAACGAUAGCUAAUACCGCAUAAGAACAUUUACUGCAUGGUAGACGUUUAAAAGGUGCAAAAGCAUCACUACCAGAUGGACCUGCGUAGUAUUAGCUAAUUGGUGAGGUAACGGCUCACCAAGGCAACGAUACAUAGCCGACCUGAGAGGGUGAUCGGCCACACUGGAACUGAGACACGGCCCAGUACUCCUACCGGAGGCAGCAGUACGGAAUCUUCGGCAAUGGGGGGAACCCUGACCGAGCAACGCCGCGUGAGUGAAGAAGGUUUUCGGAUCGUAAAGCUCUGUUGUUAAGGAAGAACGUGUGUGAGAGUGGAAAGUUCACACAGUGACGGUACUUAACCAGAAAGAGACGGCUAACUACGUGCCAGCAGCCGCGGUAAUACGUAGGUCCCGAGCGUUGUCCGGAUUUAUUGGGGCGUAAAGCGAGCGCAGGCGGUUAGAUAAGUCUGAAGUGAAAGGCAGUGGCUCAACCAUUGUA
rnacentral:rRNA from 1 species